UACAGAGGGUGCAAGCGUUAAUCGGAAUUACUGGGCGUAAAGCGUGCGUAGACGGUUAUUUAAGUCAGGUGUGAAAGCCCCGGGCUCAACCUGGGAAUUGCAUUUGAGACUGAAUAGCUAGGGUGCGGAAGAGGGAAGCGGAAUUUCCGGUGUAGCGGUGAGAUGCGUAGAUAUCGGAAGGAACACCAGUGGCGAAAGCGGCUUCCUGGUCCAGCACCGACGUUCAGGCACGAAAGCGUGGGGAGCAAACAGG
rnacentral:rRNA from 1 species